rnacentral:rRNA from 1 species
CAAAGGCUUGGUCCUGACUUUAUUAUCAACUUUAGCCAAAUUUACACAUGCAAGUAUCCGCACCCCUGUGAGAAUGCCCCACAGUUCCCCGCCCGGGAACAAGGAGCUGGUAUCAGGCACAUCUCCCGAGCCCAUGACACCUUGCUUAGCCACACCCUCAAGGGAACUCAGCAGUGAUAGACAUUAAGCCAUAAGUGAAAACUUGACUUAGUUAAAGCUAAGAGGGCCGGUAAAACUCGUGCCAGCCACCGCGGUUAUACGAGAGGCCCAAGUUGACAAACACCGGCGUAAAGCGUGGUUAAGGAAAAACUCACACUAAAGCCAAACAUCUUCCAGGCUGUUAUACGCAACUGAAGAUAGGAAGUUCAACCACGAAAGUGGCUUUACCAGACCUGAAUCCACGAAAGCUAAGGAACAAACUGGGAUUAGAUACCCCACUAUGCCUAGCCCUAAACAUUGAUAGUAUUAUACACCCACUAUCCGCCCGGGAACUACGAGCAAUAGCUUAAAACCCAAAGGACUUGGCGGUGCUUUAGAUCCAC